rnacentral:rRNA from 1 species
CCCUUAGAUGUUCUGGGCCGCACGCGCGCUACACUGAUGCAUUCAACGAGUCUAAAACCUGCUCUGAUAGGGGUGGGUAAUCUUUUGAAUGUGCAUCGUGAUUGGGAUAGAUGAUUGCAAUUUUUCAUCUUCAACGAGGAAUGCCUAGUAAACGCAAGUCAUCAGCUUGCAUUGAUUGCGUCCCUGCCCUUUGUACACACCGCCCGUCGCUCCUACCGAUUGAAUGAUCCGAUGAAUAUCAUGGAUUGAGGAUUAUAGCAGGUUCGCCUGUCUUGAUCUUCGAGAAGUGAAGUAAAUCUUAUCAUUUAGAGGAAGGAGAAGUCGUAACA